UUGUUCCCAUCGUCGGUAUUGAAGACCGCAGAGUGAGCGUCGCGAUGAUGGCGGCAAGAUGCCUGGUGCUUAAGCUUCACUGCUCGGCAGGCAUUCCAUUCUCCCUCUUCCCUUCUCGUUGCCUUCCUCCCGAACCUCCCGCGUCGGUGUUUGAAUUCGUCGCCUUGCGCGGCAAGUUGUCAAUCCUCCAGUCCCCGUUUCUUUCGCUGCCCCGUGCAUGAUUCGCGCUGAAAUUCGAAAUGAAUCUUUGAGCGCGGGGGCAGCAGAGCUCUCCUCACAUGGAAGGCAUUUGUCGAGAAUGUGCGAGGAUCUCAUAGGUUUUUCUUUUCUCGCGAGCGCCAGGGUGAUGGCGCUAGUGGAGUUCAUUGUUUCUGCGAGGUCGAGGAGGGAUUCACCGGUCGCGAGGUGGCUCAGGACGGACUUUCUUCUGUACGCAGGAUUGAUGCUGUUUUUUCGGACCUUCCGUGGACCAGCACGGGAAGCUCACCACAUGCCAGGGAUCGUGUGUCCAGAACCAUUGGACGCUGAAUCCUUCUGAAAUUGGUGUCGGUCGAAUCUGAGUUACUUCGUCGCAUCGUUUGCUCGAUUGUCAGUAGAGGCAAUGGAAAUAAACCUGCACGCGAGGCGCACAUUACGACUCUAUGUUGAAGUUCUAUAAUGGAAGAUGUGUAUCCAAGUCAAAUUGAUUUUUACAUUUUAUUCGAGUAUUGCUGCUCUUCACAACUUGGCGGAAGGCUUUCCAUGGGAGUAGAAGCAUUAUGUUCAUCAGCUGGAAAUAAAUAAUGAGAUGAGAAGGAUCACCGUUCUCAACGUCUAAACUUCUGCAUGGGUUGAAGCAGCUACCACUGUGACCCGCUGAAGCGACUUGUCUCGAGGAUGUACACAUUGCUCCUCUGGCGGAUCGUUUUUGGAUGUGGACACUGAAUAAACUUCGUGAUCUUCAGUUGAAGAGGAUAGAAGCAGGCGGUUCAAUUGUGGAUAAGGCCUUUUUAGUGAUCGAGAAAACGAUCAGGCACUUGCACCAAAGAUAUGUAGUAAAGUUGCCGAGCAAGUGUACAGCUUUUAUUUACCUGGGAACUGCACGUAUACAACUAGAUCGAGUUGUUCAUCUAAACUGUCGAGCACUCACGGGUCCUCAAGAUCUGCACUGGUGAGGCGAAGAAGGAAUGGACGCUUCGACUGCCGACGAUUGGAGAACCAAAUCGUCCAUUAUUUAGAUGCCAAGUUCUUAGUUUUGCGAACUUUGGCAUGUAGACUUCUGCCAGGAAGACGUCAGUAGUUCAUGUUGUUUCGUUGCAUGUUCAUACGGAUGUGUUUCUGCUUCAAUCGCUUAUGUAAUUAGUUGUUUUUUUCUACUCCUUUGUGGUCAAACCCAUCUUGAAGUCAGCAAUUAGAAAACCUCCAAGACAUGCUAGGUUAUACGAUUCAAGGAAACCUGUACAUCGUCGGUUGGGAAGACAAGCCUAGACUGGAAUUGAUGGAUCAUCUGUACCUAAAUUUGUGAGGUCCUUAACCAGUAGCUUGUGUGUAGUUCGAAAGAUCCCAUUUUUCGCUCAUCAGCACCACAGCCCAAUCAACUUGUCUCUACUUCCAAGCUGUGCUAGGUUAAUGUUAGGAAAUGCGCGACACAAUCGUAAACGUGAGGCCAGCGUCAUGUUGCUCUUGCUCUGGAAGACGACGGCUUGCAUUUGUGCAAGUGACUUAUCUUUUGAGUCCAAAUAAUAGCAGCACCUAGCUUCAAGGCUUAAUGACCUUUUGGCGCUUUUUAGGAAUUUAGUCUUCAUCAGCCGUUCCUAAUCGAUCUUCACCCUCCAGCCUGAGAGCAUUCCCAUAAUCCCUACCGUUUUUCUGAAGAGGAUGAGGAUUUGGAGUGCAGAAUAGUGUUGGGAUCUCUGUUGGUAGACGAAGCGCACAUUUGCAACACAUUUACUGAAUCAACUAGCUCAAUGCUCUCAGUUUGAGAGUCUAAUUCCGUCGGUGCGUGAGAUUUAUGUUAACAUUGGAUGAUUAUGAUGAUCUCCAAUUGGUGGUAUUAUCAGGCGUGGCUCAAGCAUGAAGUUCUCAUCAGGUUAGUUUGAAACAUCCAACUUGGGUUCGUUGGGUUGCUGGUGGUGUGCGCAACCUGUGCGUCUCGAGUCGGAAUGGGAAAUUUUCUUCCAGCUUUUAUCGACUCCCAUUCUUCUGGUAAGCUUUGCAAUAUUAUUAGCAACAUCCAAGAAAAGGAUGCUUUACCAUUUUCUCUUGUUUGAUCACAUUCAAUUUGUGUAAACUACUGGUGUCACUCAUUGACUUAGCUGUCGCGCAAGAUGGUUCUAUGCUGUUGUGCAGAGCUUGGACACCAAGCUUUUCGCUGUUAAGGAUUUCUCAUGCCGGAGACCAAGUAAUUAUUGAUGUUAUUGCCAAUUAUCAAAUAUACGCUUCAAUUCUACUCUUGUAAUGAUGUAAAGCAUGUGAAGGUCAAAACAUAUAGGUUUUUGAUAAAUAACAUUUUACUAACAAAGUUCAGCUACAUCUUCUAAUAUAAAAGCAUGCCUUCCUAUUUACAAGGCUGUUACUUCAA